UUUACACGUCAUUCUUGGCUUUUCGUCUUUGCCCGUAUAAACGAGUUUUUCAAAGAUUUUUUUAUUGUCAUAAAAAUCAGCGUCGUAAGGUGUAGUGAGUGAUUGCCCCACACUGUAUCUAAACAGGUGAGAAAAUGGUAUUUUUUAAAUACAUAUGCUAUUUUCAAUACUUUAUCAAAUUGUAAUUUACGGAUUGAAUAAAACGAGCAUGAAAGUGAGCAGAGUCCACAAUGGGGAAAUAUUGUUCUUACCUAGGCUGCCCAACUGGGCGAGAUGCCAGUAGAGAAAACUGCAAGCGCUUCGGACGACGGCAGCUGUCUGGCUUCAAGGUACCAAAGAAUAUGCAACAACGAUGGAGCGAAGUCCUUGGACAGUGUCUCGACUGAUCAUCUGUGCAUCCUGUGGUGCAACCAAUUAGUUGAGAUGGACCUUCGGGCGCUUUUUGACUGAGUGGAUACAAAAACUCGUCCGCCUAAUAUAACUUACGACUCAGAACGGGAAAUUCUUGUCCUCGAUUGUUAUUUCCAAAGCCAUAUAUUCAAAAAAAACGUCUUCCAUACGAGGACAAGACGAAAUUCGAGCCUGGAAGCGAAUGGAUCGAAGACAUCAUUAGACAAUACACUUGGAGUCAGAAAGCCGUUUUUCAAUUAGAACAUAUCACUGAUUGAAUUGGGUUUCAUAGAUAUUUUCAAAAAAUUGUCACUCGAGAACGGGAUGGAACAAAAAAUGUAAAAAAAAUAUGCUAGCCUCUACCAAUGCGAGUGAACGACAUACAAAAUUUCGAGUCAAAUCGAAAAGGGUGAGGGUCGGAGCCUGGUCAAAUUCGGGUGGAAUGCUCCAUAUAAAUUAUUCACCGAGGAAACAUUAGUUUCAUCGCGUCGGCUAGAAGAACAAUUGAGUUCGUCGGGCCAUCCGGAGCUGGACAACUCUUUAUGAUAAUGCGGUAAUUGUCGAGGGUCUACGAUGAAAAUUUCGCUCGCGGAUGAACUUCGAUUUAGGUAAAAAUCGAUUUAUUUCCAAAUGUUCCGCAGUUUAUCGCAUUAAUAAUAUUAUUUAUUGUUAAAAAAUGUUUGUUUUAUUGUUGG
rnacentral:lncRNA from 1 species